AUGGAUAACAGGUUGAUAUUCCUGUACCACCUAUAAUCGUUUUAAUCGAUGGGGGGACGCAGUAGGAUAGGCGAAGCGUGCGAUUGGAUUGCACGUCUAAGCAGUAAGGCUGAGUAUUAGGCAAAUCCGGUACUCGUUAAGGCUGAGCUGUGAUGGGGAGAAGACAUUGUGUCUUCGAGUCGUUGAUUUCACACUGCCGAGAAAAGCCUCUAGAUAGAAAAUAGGUGCCCGUACCGCAAACCGACACAGGUAGUCAAGAUGAGAAUUCUAAGGUGAGCGAGCGAACUCUCGUUAAGGAACUCGGCAAAAUGACCCCGUAACUUCGGGAGAAGGGGUGCUCUUUAGGGUUAACGCCCAGAAGAGCCGCAGUGAAUAGGCCCAAGCGACUGUUUAUCAAAAACACAGGUCUCUGCUAAACCGUAAGGUGAUGUAUAGGGGCUGACGCCUGCCCGGUGCUGGAAGGUUAAGAGGAGUGGUUAGCUUCUGCGAAGCUACGAAUCGAAGCCCCAGUAAACGGCGGCCGUAACUAUAACGGUCCUAAGGUAGCGAAAUUCCUUGUCGGGUAAGUUCCGACCCGCACGAAAGGCGUAACGAUUUGGGCACUGUCUCAACGAGAGACUCGGUGAAAUCAUAGUACCUGUGAAGAUGCAGGUUACCCGCGACAGGACGGAAAGACCCCGUGGAGCUUUACUGUAGCCUGAUAUUGAAAUUCGGCACAGCUUGUACAGGAUAGGUAGGAGCCUUUGAAACGUGAGCGCUAGCUUACGUGGAGGCGCUGGUGGGAUACUACCCUAGCUGUGUUGGCUUUCUAACCCGCACCACUUAUCGUGGUGGGAGACAGUGUCAGGCGGGCAGUUUGACUGGGGCGGUCGCCUCCUAAAAGGUAACGGAGGCGCUCAAAGGUUCCCUCAGAAUGGUUGGAAAUCAUUCAUAGAGUGUAAAGGCAUAAGGGAGCUUGACUGCGAGACCUACAAGUCGAGCAGGGUCGAAAGACGGACUUAGUGAUCCGGUGGUUCCGCAUGGAAGGGCCAUCGCUCAACGGAUAAAAGCUACCCCGGGGAUAACAGGCUUAUCUCCCCCAAGAGUUCACAUCGACGGGGAGGUUUGGCACCUCGAUGUCGGCUCAUCGCAUCCUGGGGCUGUAGUCGGUCCCAAGGGUUGGGCUGUUCGCCCAUUAAAGCGGUACGCGAGCUGGGUUCAGAACGUCGUGAGACAGUUCGGUCCCUAUCCGUCGUGGGCGUAGGAAAUUUGAGAGGAGCUGUCCUUAGUACGAGAGGACCGGGAUGGACAUACCUCUGGUGUACCAGUUGUCGUGCCAACGGCAUAGCUGGGUAGCUAUGUGUGGACGGGAUAAGUGCUGAAAG
rnacentral:rRNA from 1 species